rnacentral:ncRNA from 1 species
CAUCGCGAGGUGGAAUCUGAAGGAAGCCGGAUUGCGGAGGCAGGAAGCCGAAGCAGGGCAAAACUCUGACCCGACGAACAGAAAUCAUGUAAGGCUGUAAGCGAGGGUAAGGCUGCAUGACAAGCCAAAGCCAGAUAACCGCACGGAAUCGCUUGCAGUAGACAUGGCGGGUAUAAGAGGGAAAGAACG